GGAGGGAAAUAAAUAAAUAAAAGCGAGCGAGAGUCGGCGAAGGAGAGGGAGGCAGGUUCAAUUAUCUAAACAAAGAAAUCAUGGCGGAGUGUUUACAUUUGGCUGCCCAAAGCCUGUCGGAUUACGGACCCCCCCCAAACACACCCGGCCCCCCCCCGCAGUAGCGCCGUGCCGGAGCCCGCCCGCCGACACCUCGCCGCGGCCCGGAGUCUGAAACAGCUGCUUUGAAGAGAUCUUUCACGUGAAUGACUAGGCUGUGAAUUGAUAAGAAUGUUGAUAAGGAGGAACAGAUGGCAGCAGCACCAUCCUGUCUCAGCACCGAACACUGUUUGGGAGAUGUAUGCAAUGUAAAAAGCAGCCCUGUGUGGAAAAGCAGAUAGUACUCCUGCAAAGUAAGAGCAAAUCCAAGGAGAAAACUGGCUUCUGAGAAGGUUCCAGUGGAACAAAGAAAUGGACUGAUGACAUCUGCCUUUCUCCAUCCAUACCUUCCCCAGCCCCAGGCUGUAUUGGGGAUCAGCAUGCCAUGUACGCCAGUACACAGCUCAUAGAGUUGCAUCUCAGGAACCGACUCAAAAAGGAAUUAUAACUUUUGUUUCCCUGGAAAAGAAGGAAGGGAAAAUAAAAGAAGAGAAAGAGAAGAGAAAAGAGAAAAGAGAAGGGAAGAGAAGAGAAGAGAAGAGA